CCCGCUCCUUCCCGCCCCUUCCCUGCCCGCUCCUUCCCUUCCCUUCCCUUCCCUGCCCGCCCCUUCCCUUCCCUGCACGCCCAGCAGCCCUCGCGCGGGGGGUGGAACGUUUCCUUCUUUCCUUGCGCCCGGAGACACCGGGGGGCGGCGUUGGGAGAGGGGGGCGCUGCAGAGCUCGCAGCUCUUCGGUAAAACCCUGACUCGAGGGACCGGCCCGUGCCGACAGCCCGGCUCCGGGAGCCUACGAGACAGAUGGAGAGGGACUUUUAAUAUGGGCAGGCAUAUAGUAUUUCCUCCCAGAAAAAGAUUGAGCAAGGAUUUGAAGAGGUCAGAAGAAAACUCAUCUCCAUCAAACAAUUCAAUAGAGAAGAAGAAAAAUAUUUUUAUCUCUCACUGAUAACUGCUCCUUUUCCUUCCGCUGAGGAGUUAAUUCCGCAAGAAAUAAAUAAAACAGCUUCCUCAAGUGGACUUCAAUGUGAAAUUUAGAGUAAAUGGGCAUUUGUAGAAAAAUAGAGAAUCCCUAACCAGUAAAAGGUAUUUGCAUACAUACGCUAAAAGCAAUAUGUGGUAUUAAAGAUCUUGAUGAGGAUGGAUGCUACAAGCCCCCAAAAAUGGAGCAGGCAAGCAGAACCUACUGUAAUAGAAUGAGUAGAUACUUCUAAAUGCCACAAACAUGUCUUAAAUACCAGAUGUUCUCAAGAAGGCAACACUACUGAUAAUUGUAACAUCAAAUUGAAAUUUAAUUCCAGCCUAGUUUUUAGAUCUUGGGGGUUUUGGCAGGUUUUGAAUAAAAACGUUUUAGGCAUGAUAUAUUUUGGCGUAUGCAACUGUCAUGCAUUGGCCCCACUUCUUCACUGUCCUCAAUUUCCAAACGCAUGGGACUUAGAAUGUGAAGAACUACAGGCAAAGAUCAGGCCCCAGACAAUCAGGGGAGCCUCAGUGGCUUUUGAGAAGCUACACCGCAUAAACCUAUGACAGUAGUAGCACUCUUUCCAACAUUGACUUUAUG